CAGUCGCCGCGGGAAUACGUAGGGUGCAAGCGUUAAUCGGAAUUACUGGGCGUAAAGCGAGCGCAGGCGGUUAGAUAAGUCUGAAGUUAAAGGCUGUGGCUUAACCAUAGUACGCUUUGGAAACUGUUUAACUUGAGUGCAAGAGGGGAGAGUGGAAUUCCAUGUGUAGCGGUGAAAUGCGUAGAUAUUGGGAGGAACACCAGUGGCGAAGGCGGCUUUCUGGACUGCAACUGACGCUGAGGCUCGAAAGCCAGGGGAGCGAACGGGAUUAGAUACCCGCGUAGUCCCUGUCUCUUAUACA
rnacentral:rRNA from 1 species